rnacentral:rRNA from 1 species
GAUGAACGCUGGCGGCGUGCCUAAUACAUGCAAGUCGAGCGAACAGAUAAGGAGCUUGCUCCUUUGACGUUAGCGGCGGACGGGUGAGUAACACGUGGGUAACCUACCUAUAAGACUGGGAUAACUUCGGGAAACCGGAGCUAAUACCGGAUAAUAUUUCGAACCGCAUGGUUCGAUAGUGAAAGAUGGUUUUGCUAUCACUUAUAGAUGGACCCGCGCCGUAUUAGCUAGUUGGUAAGGUAACGGCUUACCAAGGCGACGAUACGUAGCCGACCUGAGAGGGUGAUCGGCCACACUGGAACUGAGACACGGUCCAGACUCCUAAGGGAGGCAGCAGUAGGGAAUCUUCCGCAAUGGGCGAAAGCCUGACGGAGCAACGCCGCGUGAGUGAUGAAGGUCUUCGGAUCGUAAAACUCUGUUAUUAGGGAAGAACAUACGUGUAAGUAACUGUGCACGUCUUGACGGUACCUAAUCAGAAAGCCACGGCUAACUACGUG